UGAGGAAGUUGGGCCAACACUCUGCCUUCUCCGAACUCUAGUCUAGAAAGAGAUCCUGGUACCAUCUGCCCUGCUUUUCACGCAUCCUUGGCUCUGGGCUGGAGGUGAGCUCAGGCUUGGCUAGUCAGCUCGGUCCCUCAGGUGAUGAGAGACUUGGGAAAGCCUGUUUUCUUAUCUGUAAAAUAGAUCUUGACCCCACCCUGCCUGCCUUCCUGCCUGCCAGCCGGCCAGGGCCGCCGGGAAGAUCAGGUGAGAGGAGGCAUAACUGGCUGGGUAACUCUGUCUGGCAGGGCACAGGAGUCUGGUUCUUACCUGGCUCCCAAGCUGGGAGAGCCGGCUUGCUCACCUGUCCAAAGGAGAGCACAGGGUUGAGAUACAGGAAGUGAGCAGGCUUCACCUUGAGAGUCUCUAGAGUCCCUGCCAUAGGGCGGGGUGGGCGGGGAGGGGUGGGGAGGGGGGCGGAGCCCUAGCAGCUUAUGACAGGCAGGGUACCUGGUCACACAGCCUUGUGGCCUUGGUGUGGGAUGCUAAGUUCAGCACAUGUUGAGCUUCUAGAAGAGUCUUGCAAAACAAACAAACAAACAAACAAACAAACAAAAACAAAAAAACUUGUUUCCAGUCAUCAAAGAAUUGGUUCAUGCUCGAGGCAGCAGGCCAGUGAACUCAGGGCCCAGCCUGAGCCGUACCCCACCCCCACCUCUACCUCCAGCCACCCUGCAUUCCACCCCCUGCUCAAAGGUUUGCUUUCUCUCAUCUUGCCUGUGGUACUGUGGCACCAACUGAGGCUCCAGGGUACAAACAAAGGUUUUGACAGGUGGGAUGCAGUACACACUCCUAGAUCCUCUCCCUACCUGAAAGGCCACAAGAAAGCAGUCAGUAAGACAAAGACUGCUAGGCUCCUGGCUAUAUUGGUCAGCUUGGCAGUUAGAACAACAUGCCAUCAUAGAGGAUUAAGCAACAACAUACAAAAAACAUGCUCACAUAAUUCUGGAGGCUGGACAUUCUGCCCCCACCCACUGAUGCUGGGUGAGUCACUUUCCUCUACUGGGCCUCAGUUAUAUGAUCUAUAAAAUGGGAACAGCCUGUGAUCUGCCCACCUCAUCUGUUUCAUAAAGAUCAAAGGUAGUUCUGUGGACAAGCAGGCUGGUAGUUGCAGCAAGUGAGGGUAAGUGGGAGGUUUCAAUUACCAUUGAGAUUAUUUGGAAAGAAGGUACCCUGGACUUUUGUUUUCUGAGGCGGGGUCUUAUCAUGUAGCCCAGGCAAUCUUGGAACUCACUAUGCAGACCAGGCUGACCUUGAAUUUACAGAGAUCUCACUGCCUCUGCCUAUGAAAUUCUGGGAUUAAACGAGUGUGCCACCACUUUUCAGUUACUAGAAUAAAGACUAAAAAUCAAGGCCAGCAAGAUAGUCAACAACUAGCUGUAAAUAAAAUAAAUCUUAACAGCCUGACUAGGCAGUCCUCGUUUACAGUUUAGUGCGAAGCAGGACUCAAGUAUGUGUCACCUCCAGCCCCCUUCCGGUUCUCAGUGAUGGAUGGAUGUACUGAGUGUAAUUCCAAGCCACUCUGCGAGUGUUAUGACCAAUCUCUUUAUUAAACACGGAUACAAAUUCUCCCAAGGUGUAAAAUGCCACUGAAAGACGCCAGCAGGAGGCAGGCUCUGCAGUACAAAUGCAUCCCGCUGUCAGGUAAAUUCGUGGACCCUGGGGCCCUGGCUCCCUCUCACCUUCCCUCUCAGGCCCUAUCUACUUUGCUUUGAAGACAGGAGCUAGAACAGUGCACCUCUGUUUGUAUCCAGAGGGGUUAAAAGCCCAAACCGGCAGGCUGAAUUCGCUCUCUGUGGGACCCUCUUUGUCUCAGCACUGCCUGCACCCGCCUGUGGCUGUCCAGGUUCCUUUGCUUUCUCCUGGCGCUGGGCUUCAGUUUCAGGCUAGACACUGCCAGGAGUGUAGGAUCGGUUUCCAAGGGGGUCUUUGCUCUUCUCUUUGUUCCCUGGCAGUGUCCAAGUAGGUGGUCAAACACUCUUGAAAAGACCCCAAGUUUGUGUGAACGAAAACGCCCGGGCCUGAGCAGGCUCCAGUUGAGGGGGCAGCGCGCCCUCUAGUGGCAGUCCUAGACUUU